rnacentral:rRNA from 1 species
CCUACGGGAGGCAGCAGUGGGGGAUAUUGCACAAUGGGGGGAACCCUGAUGCAGCGACGCCGCGUGGGUGAAGGAGUGCUUCUGCAUGUAAAGCCCUAUCGGCAGGGAAGAAGCAAGACGGUACCUGACUAAGAAGCCGUGGCGAACUACGUGCCAGCAGCCGCGGUAAUACGGAGGGGGCGAGCGUUACCGGGAUUCACUGGGUGUAACGGGAGCGUAGGGGGCAAUGGAAGCCAGGGGGGAAAGUCCGGGGCCCAACCCCGGGACUGCCCUUGGAACUGCAUGGCUGGAGUGCGGGAGGGGCAUGCGGAAUUCCUGGUGUAGCGGUGAAAUGCGUAGAUAUCAGGAGGAACCCCGGCGGCGAAGGCGGCCUGCUGGACCGCAACUGACGUUGAGGCUCGAAAGCGUGGGGAGCGAACAGGAUUAGAUACCCGUGUAGUC